rnacentral:rRNA from 1 species
AUUGAACGCUGGCGGAAUGCUUUACACAUGCAAGUCGAACGGUAGAGGGGGCAACCCCUUGAGAGUGGCGAACGGGUGAGUAAUAUAUCGGAACGUGCCCAGUCGUGGGGGAUAACGUAGCGAAAGUUACGCUAAUACCGCAUACGAUCUACGGAUGAAAGCGGGGGAUCGCAAGACCUCGCGCGAUUGGAGCGGCCGAUAUCAGAUUAGCUAGUUGGUGGGGUAAAAGCUCACCAAGGCGACGAUCUGUAGCUGGUCUGAGAGGACGACCAGCCACACUGGAACUGAGACACGGUCCAGACUCCUACGGGAGGCAGCAGUGGGGAAUUUUGGACAAUGGGCGCAAGCCUGAUCCAGCAAUGCCGCGUGCAGGACGAAGGCCUUCGGGUUGUAAACUGCUUUUGUACAGAACGAAAGGUCUCUAUUAAUACUAGGGGCUCAUGACGGUACUGUAAGAAUAAGCACCGGCUAACUACGUG